UACAGAGGGUGCAAGCGUUAAUCGGAAUUACUGGGCGUAAAGCGUGCGUAGACGGUUAUGUAAGUCAGAUGUGAAAGCCCCGGGCUCAACCUGGGAAUUGCAUUUGAGACUGCAUAGCUAGGGUGCGGAAGAGGGAAGCGGAAUUUCCGGUGUAGCGGUGAAAUGCGUAGAUAUCGGAAGGAACACCAGUGGCGAAAGCGGCUUCCUGGUCCAGCACCGACGUUCAGGCACGAAGGUCAGGGGAGCAAACGGG
rnacentral:rRNA from 1 species